rnacentral:rRNA from 1 species
UGGGGAAUUUUGCACAAUGGGGGAAACCCUGAUGCAGCGACGCCGCGUGAUUUAGAAGGCCUUCGGGUUGUAAAAAUCUUUUCUAUGGGAAGAAAAUGACAGUACCAUAGGAAUAAGGACCGGCUAAUUACGUGCCAGCAGCCGCGGUAAUACGUAAGGUCCGAGCGUUGUCCGGAAUCAUUGGGCGUAAAGGGUACGUAGGCGGGUAAGCAAGUUAGAAGUGAAAUCCUAUACCUCAACUAUAGUAAGCUUUUUAAACUGCUCAUCUUGAGGUAUGGAAGGGAAAGUGGAGUUCCUAGUGUAGCGGUGAAAUGCGCAGAUAUUAGGAGGAAUACCGGUGGCGAAGGCGACUUUCUGGCCAUAACCUGACGCUGAGGUACGAAAGCGUGGGUAGCAAACAGG